rnacentral:rRNA from 1 species
GUGGGGAAUCUUGCGCAAUGGGCGAAAGCCUGACGCAGCCAUGCCGCGUGAAUGAUGAAGGUCUUAGGAUUGUAAAAUUCUUUCACCGGGGACGAUAAUGACGGUACCCGGAGAAGAAGCCCCGGCUAACUUCGUGCCAGCAGCCGCGGUAAUACGAAGGGGGCUAGCGUUGCUCGGUAUUACUGGGCGUAAAGGGCGCGUAGGCGGACAGUUUAGUCAGAGGUGAAAGCCCAGGGCUCAACCUUGGAAUUGCCUUUGAUACUGGCUGUCUUGAGUACGGGAGAGGUGAGUGGAACUCCGAGUGUAGAGGUGAAAUUCGUAGAUAUUCGGAAGAACACCAGUGGCGAAGGCGACUCACUGGCCCGUUACUGACGCUGAGGCGCGAAAGCGUGGGGAGCAAACAGGAUUAGAUACCCGUGUAGUCC